CAACAUUCGAACGUACUUCGUUAAACCAGACUGCAGGAUGAAUGAUUUUUUGCAUCAUGCUAUUAUAGUUGUUUUGGCUGUGGUAAUGUUAUGGACAUAUGUUGUCCGAGCACAAGAACCAGAUGGAGAUGGGGAUGAAGGAUAAAGGGUUUGUUUUUAUUUAUUUAAUUGAAUUUGACAUCUUUGAUGGGUUGUAUUUCGACAUGAUUGUAUAAAUCGCGCUACAACUUCUUAUCUGUUGUUAAAGGUAACCAAAUAAAACUUUCAAAAAGUUGUUUGGAAAGAAACAAAAAUAAAUUCUUUCAUUAUUUUAUUUUAAGCGGACAUUUAAAAUUACAAUAGAUUUAGAAAUAUACAAUAUGAUUUUAUAUGUGACGAUUGAUAAGUAUGGAAUAAUAUGAUUUAUCUAUUAGAUGUAAUUGCCGUGAAAUUAGUUUUAAAUAGAACUUGCGAGUACUUUUUAAACGGUGUUUUUUUUUUUAUCUAUGGCUUCUAUGUUAGUUGUUUUGGGGAUUCGUACUGAUCUUCUGUUGGCAGCCAUUUGAAAAUAAUGUUCAGGGUAAGAUUUGCUUUUUUGACCUUCGCCCGGUUUAUGGAGAGAGAUCAGCGCUCAGCACAUGCUUUGUUCUUUCACUUACCUUUUUGCUAGUCGAACCUAAGGGGCCAAUAGGUCAACGUUUGUUAAUGAUACAUGUCUGGCAUAUUUAUUUUUGCUCAUUGUUUUGCAUAUCGUUAAUCUUCUCGUUUGAAUUGAUUCACAUUUACAUGUGGGCGGUUGUAACUAUAUGGUGUGGGUAUUUUCACUUUGUUGAAGGUCGUACGUUCACUUCUUAAUUGUUAUAUCUACUUCAGUUUAACCUUUCAGUAGAUAGAUGUUUUUUUUUAUAUCAGGUUGAUUGUAGAUGGUAUUAAAUUUACCUUUUCCGUCGUUUUUUUUUUUGGUUAUAUAAAUCUUUUCAUUCAAGUAUUACGGUAUAAAAAGUAAAAUCACAAAAAUACUGAAUUUAGAGGAAAAUCAAUUCGGAAAGUCCAUAAUCACAUGGCAAAAUCAAAAAACAAAACGUAUCAAAAACGAAUGGACAAGAACUGGUACAGGCAUUUUCAAAUGUAGAAAAACAUCCACUAACGUACCGAGUUGAUAAAUGCUUAUUGUGUUUGAGGUAUUUGCACAAUCAGUUGAAAACGGCUGUAUAUAUAUAUAUAUAUAUAUAUAUAUAUAUAUAUAUAUAUAUAUAUAUAUAUAUAUAAAAAUGACUGAAUAAAUAGUCAACGAUCAAUCUUACAGGGCGAUGGAUCAUGUAAUAUGAUUCUGAACACUACAAAAUAUAAUAUAUAACAAGUCAAAAAGGGUACAACAUCACCAUUAAAUAACUAUAAAAUAUACAAAUAUUAGAUAUUUCGGAUAACAGAUAUCCUUCUUCGGUAAUUGCACAAUGACAAAUGAAUCAUGUCAAUUCAAAUUGAGACUCUAUCAAAAUCUUGAUUUAUACAAUUUAAGCGAACGCUGGGACAAUUUUAAAAUUUCCAAACACACCGCAAAGACUACAGAAAUAUGCCAAAAAUAAAAAUAGUUAUUUACGAUGUGAAAUGGCACAACUCUAGAUUCACUUCGAUGACCAUUCAUGCGUUUGUUAAAUGGCUGCUCUGUCUCGCCAACAUACUGCAUGCCACAACGACAUUGAAGGAGGUAUACAACAUUCUGGGUUUUGCAAGUUACAUUGCAAUAUAUAGUGUACACAGACCCAGUCGAGUGGCAAGUGAAUGUUUGAGUAUUCAGUAUUUGUUGACAAGUCAUUUAACAAACGCAUGAAUGGUCAUCGAAGUGACUACACUUGCAAGCCCGACCUACCCGUAAGUCGUCAUUUGAGAUCACCUGGACACACACAAGCUGAUCUCAAAAACCUUACCAUCACGAUCAUAGACCACAACGAGGGUUGGUCGAAGGUCGACAGAGUCGCUCGGGAAAGAUUUUGGAUAAGAAAGUUACGGACAGUCUCCCCAGAGGGUAUAAAUGAAAAAACAUAGAACGAGUCCCUCAUUUUCCUGUGACUACCUGUUUCAAACAACGCCGGAUUUAGUACUGGCUUUACAGUUCGAAAUUAUUUUUAAAAUAACAGUUUAAAUUACCGGUUUUCAUUGAUUCGGGAUGAUGUAUAAGUACGUUGCCACGUUCACUUAUUUUACCUCAUUAUACAAAACUUAUUUUUUCAAUUAUUAUUAGACUGAUAUUCGUUUGGGAGGCUUAAAUAUGUAGUUUCUGUUGUAAUUGCCCUACCGUUGUCUAAUUUAUACCAUCCUGGAUCGGUUAGGACAUUUUUGAUUUUUUUGUUUGAGGACUGCCCUCAAUGCAGUUAUAACAUCUCAACUGUCACAACCUUUGGAAAUCUAGAGUUGUGCCAUUUCACAUCGUAAAUAACUAUUUUUAUUUUUGGCAUAUUUCUGUAGUCUUUGCGGUGUGUUUGGAAAUUUUAAAAUUGUUCCAGCGUUCGCUUAAAUUGUAUAAAUCAAGAUUUUGAUAGAGUCUCAAUUUGAAUUGACAUGAUUCAUUUGUCAUUGUGCAAUUACCGAAGAAGGAUAUCUGUUAUCCGAAAUAUCUAAUAUUUGUAUAUUUUAUAGUUAUUUAAUGGUGAUGUUGUACCCUUUUUGACUUGUUAUAUAUAUAUAUAUAUAUAUAUAUAUAUAUUUAUAUAAAUUCUAGAGUUUAUCUAAAAAUGAGGGUACUUUUAUAUGGUCUUCCAAAUACCGUUUCGAUCCCUAACAUCACUGAAGAGACAUUUAUUGUCGAAAUCCGGAUCUGGUGUACUAAAAAUAUAUUGACACCGUAUGUUUGUGGCAUAUCAUCGUGGCCACAAGUUAAACAAAUUUCUGUUUAGUAUUAAAUUUAUAUUAGGAUCCAUUUUGUUACAUCUUGUGAUCAAUUUUAUUUGGCAAUCGCCAAUAGCAGUCAGCAGGGUUAAAGAACAUCAGUUGCUCGACCUGUUAGUCAAAUGCCUUUUGUUUAAAUAUACUUUUUCACUUUUUUGGUCUUUUGAAAAAUGUUGUUUGUGCUGUGUUUAGACCCUUCUACAACGAAAUUUGUUUUACAUGCACACGUAUAAAAAUUGCGGUUUUUAUCCAACGCAAUCAUAGGUUUGAACGUAGUUUUCAAUUUAGACUCGUUUAUAUUUUUCGUUUGGGCUUGUAUCAUAUUUUCCCUCCGGUUUAUAUGAUCCGUUCAUCCUAUAUUGACUCUUAAAAUUCAAGAGUUUAUCUAAAAAUGAGGGUACUUUUUUCUAAAAAUGAGGGUACUUUUAUAUGGCCUUCCAAAUGCCGUUUCGAUCCCUAACAUCACUGAAGAGACAUUUAUUGUCGAAAUCCGGAUCUGGUGUACUAAAAAUAUAUUGACACCGUAUGUUUGUGGCAUAUCAUCGUGGCCACAAGUUAUAAAAAUUUCUGUUUAGUAUCAAAUUUAUAUUAAGAUCCAUUUUGUUACAUCUUGUGAUCAAUUUUAUUCGGCAAUCGCCAAUAGCAGUCAGCAGGGUUAAAGAACAUCAGUUGUUCGACCUGUUAGUCAAAUGCGUUUUGUUUAAAUAUACUUUUUCACUUUUUUGGUCUUUUGAAGAAAAAAAAUGUUGUUUGUGCUGUUUUUAGACCCUUCUACAACGAAAUUUGUUUUACAUGCACACGUAUAAAAAUUGCGGUUUUUAUCCAACGCAAUCAUAGGUUUGAACGUAGUUUUCAAUUUAGACUCGUAUAUAUACUCGUAUAUAUACCGCAUAUUCCUGUCAGCCAACAUUUCAGGUUCUUUCUGAAAGAUUUUGAUCACAUGAAGAUCCUUGUGAUCGAACAGGAUUGUACAUGGCAAAAUAGGCAAAGAGAAAAUCGGGAGAAGUUUUGGAUAAAAACACUGGGUGUCCUCCAUCCAGAUGGAAUCAAUAGAAAGAAAUAAUUAAAUUUACAGUCUAGUGUUUAUAUUAUUAUAUUCAGGAUUUUGGAUUAAAAUCAAUCGACCAAAACUUACCUGUAUUAUUAGUGAUCUAUGUUUACACCUUAUACAUUAUAUAUCAUUAUUGUUAAAACUUUUGUCACCGAAGAAGGCCAUCUGUUGAGCCGAAAUAUUUGCAAUUAUUGUAUAAUUUAUAUCAUCUGUUCAGUUUUUCCAUCUUUGUGCAAUGAUAUUCAACACUUUUUAGUGCUUUGUUUUCCAUCUAUUUAUCGGUAUUGUUACACAAUCUUUCAGACUCAUAUAUAUAUAUAUAGUGUCUAAAAAUAGCAACAAUCAACAUUCAAUCUAUCUAGGUGUGGAUCAGUUUGUAAAUAAACUGAUGCAGUUACUAAAUUAAAUUAUAUAAGUGUCUAAGAAUGUAACUUUAACACACUAAUGAGUGUCAUAAAAUUAGUUGUUAUAUUUUAUAUAUUAUUCACGCAAUAUUUCGCGAAACAAAUUAGCUUCAUCGGGCGUGUGCAUCUAUCUAGGUGAAAUCGGAUGCAUGACAAAAAAAUAUCUUUGUAGCUUGACGUUUUUGUGUAAAAGUUUAAAAUAUUGAUUGAUGGGGUAUAUAAAAGAUAUUUUUGCCGUUUAUUGUACAUAACAAUUUUUAAAUCUAAACAAAUAGUUGUUUUAGUUAAAUAGAAUGAAAUUCAUGAUUUAUUAAGGAAUAAAUCAUGAAUUUAUUAAGGAAUAAAUCAUGAAUUUCAUUCUAUUUAACUAAAACAACUAUUUGUUUAGAUUUAAAAAUUGUUAUGUACAAUAAACGGCAAAUCAAUCAAUAUUUUAAACUUUUACACAAAAACGUCAAGCUACAAAGAUAUUUUUUUGUCAUGCAUCCGAUUUCACAUAGAUAGCGGAUGUGGUCGAGUGGUCUAGAGCGCUGGACAUGAGGCUAAGCGAUUGGUGCUGUAGUGUAUCAAAGGUGUGAGUUCGAAUCCCGCUGAGGGACGGACAAAAAUUUGUCAGUAUAAAAUCUAACUCUAACACUGUUUGGUGUAAUUUUCAGACUUAUAUAUAUAUAUAUAUAAAUAUAUAUAUAUAUAUAUAUAUAUAUAACAAAAACGCAUGUCCUGUAUCGGUCACGAUAUCAUUAAAGUGUUGUGUUAUGCUGUGUGUUUACUGUAUAAUGAAAUUAGUUUAUAUGACCGAUAACUUUUACGAAAGAAGUGGGGGACUUAUACAAGUCUUUAUAGGAAUAACAUAAUGAUUGUCACAUGGUGGUCAUGAUCUACGUACUAUGCUGUGGCAUACUAGAUCUGACUAGGUUUGUGUUGCGGGCAUGUGUGUCGUUAUUUCGUUUUUUAUUUUGACGGUGUCAGUUUCUUUUUAAAUUUCUAUUUUGAAGUUCCUCUCACCUGUGAAAUUGACUGAAUGAGAUUUUUUCAGUACAAUUUUUAAGAGAUACUCAUAGAAAUAAUAUAGAAAUAGAAAAAAAAAAAGAAAAAGUUUAGUAUACAACACUGAAACCUAAUGCAAUAGCCACACGGACUUCUUUGUCGAAUCUGAGUGAAUAUCAAGCGCCACAGAAGAACACGCUAAUCAUGCUUCAUAUGUUGCAAUUGGUUAAUAUAUAUAAGAUGGUAAGUCUCAUGAAUGAAAGUCAUAAAACUGAGCGUUAUCAAUCAGAUACACAUUCUGACAAAUAAUGCCAUUUCAGGGAUGUUAGAACCACCAACUCAAAUGCAAGUAAUCAGAUUUCUUUGAAAAAGGCCAUCAAAAAGUUGUUGUUGAUUUUGCUGUUUUGUAAAAAAGAAAAGUUUUUAAUAUGUAUUCCUUUUAUCUUUUCAGAUUGAAACAAGAAAGAACUGAUAUAAGAAAUAUCAGUUUGAUGUUCAUCAACAGUUUACAAAGAUAAUUGAAUAGACUUUUAAUACAUUACUUUUUUAUGAAAAUUAAAAUUAUUUAUCAGUAGUAAAAUCAAAGUGCACUGCAUUCAGCACCAAAUAAAGCACAUAACUGCA
rnacentral:lncRNA from 1 species